GAUGAAGAACGUAGCGAAAUGCGAUACUUGGUGUGAAUUGCAGAAUCCCGUGAACCAUCGAGUCUUUGAACGCAAGUUGCGCCCGAAGCCAUCAGGUUGAGGGCACGUCUGCCUGGGCGUCACAUAUCGUUGCUCGAUGCCUAUCGCAUUGCGAUAGGACUUAGGGCGAAUGAUGGCUUCCCGUGAGCGUUGUUGCCUCGCGGUUGGUUGAAAAUCGAGUCCUUGGUAGGGUGUGCCAUGAUAGAUGGUGGUCGAGUUAGCACGAGACCGAUGAUGUGCAUGCUCCCCAAAAUAUGGCCUCUGUGACCCACACGCGUCUUUUGACGCUCAUGAUGAGACCUCAGGUCAGGCGGGGCUACCCGCUGAAUUUAAGCAUAUCAAUAAGCGGAGGA
rnacentral:misc_RNA from 1 species